rnacentral:tRNA from 1 species
CGUAGCUCAGCUGGAUAGAGCGUCUGGCUACGGACCAGAAGGUCGUGGGUUCGAAUCCUGUCG